rnacentral:lncRNA from 1 species
UUGGAGUGUUUCCAGCAAUUGGAGACCUCCUCCCUGAGUUCUUAAGUGUUUCUCAACACAAGAACCACUUCAACACUUGAACUCUUGAUCCUUUGAGCUUUUUUUAAUCAUUUGAACAAGACAUAUACGCAAUACCAAGAUUUCAAUUAUUCAAGCAUGCAACACAUAGAAUCGCAUCCUGGCUUUAGACUUCUCUAAACAAAAAAGACAAUUUCAUGUAUUCUUUGUAUUGUAAAACAAUGUUAACAAUAAUGAAACAACUUAGUACCAUUGGUUGUGAGCCACUUGUAACGUGACUCCCCGAUAUUUCCGUCGUGUGUUGUUCUAUUACGCAAUUGGGGUGUUACAAAGGUUGUGAUGGUCUUCUUCUUGACGGAUGUUUAUGUACACGUUGUUGCUUCUUUGUACUUCAGUCACAAUCCUAUUUUUGGUCUUUGAUUGUUAUCCUGCAUUGCUGUUAAUGCACUAUUCAAAUCAUUAG